AGCUUUCGGACAGGAGCGAUCGACGGUAUGAAGGUUUUGAGUUCCCACCGCAUGUCGGGACGCUCCCAGCAUCCUUGGCUCGAAUUUUGGCCAACCGCAUGCGGUAACACACGGGAGACCAGUUUCCGUCCCAUCUCCGCAAUGGAUGAAGAGGGGGACGACGAUUUGUGACACCCAGGCAAACGUGCCCUCGGCCAGAAGGCUUGGGGCGCAACUUGCGUUCAAAGACUCAAUGGUUCACGGGAUUCUGCAAUUCACACCAAGUAUCGCAUUUCGCUACGUUCUUCAUCGAUGCGAGAGCCGAGAUAUCCGUUGCCGAGAGUCGUUUUASACUUUAGAUCGCAGCACAACAUCCGCACAAACACCGUCUCCGGGUCAACGAAUGCAGGCUGUUCGGUUAUAUGUUCCUUGACACUUUUCGUGCCGUGGUUUUGUGAUAUCCGGAAGCAACGCAUAUGACCAGACCGAAACUUUACUCUCGAUCUUGACAACAUGCGAAACCACGGAUUCSGCAAGCACGGGAUCAACUAAKAACCCGGCUUACCGUGAGUAGUGAUCGUUAGUUCACGGGUCAUUCUGUUUUGGACAGGUAUCAACRAUGAUCCUUCCGCAGGUUCACCUACGGAAACCUUGUUACGACU
rnacentral:misc_RNA from 1 species